GACGAACGCUGGCGGCGUGCUUAACACAUGCAAGUCGAACGAAGUGGCGAACGGGUGAGUAACGCGUAAUCAACCUGCCCUUCAGAGGGGGACAACAGUUGGAAACGACUGCUAAUACCGCAUACUGAAGGAGGGGAUUGCGUCUGAUUGGCUAGUUGGGGGGGGAACGGCCCACCAAGGCGAUGAUCAGUAGCCGGUCUGGGGGGAUGAACGGCCACAUUGGGACUUGGACACGGCCCAGGAUCCUACGGGAGGGAGCAGGGGGGGAUCUUUCGCAAUGGACGAAAGUCUGACGGAGCAACGCCGCGUGAGUGAUGACGGCCUUCGGGUUGUAAAGCUCUGUUAAUCGGGACGCGGUACCGGAAUAGAAAGCCACGGCUAACUACGUGCCAGCAGCCGCGGUAAUUC
rnacentral:rRNA from 1 species